rnacentral:RNase_P_RNA from 1 species
UUGUGAUUACGGAUGGUCGCCGCUUCGGCGGAGGAAAGUCCGGACUCCUCGGAGGAUGGUGCCAGAUAACGUCUGGCGGCGUCGCAAGGCGCUAGGGAAAGUGCCGCAGAAAAUAUACCGCCUUCGGGCAAGGGUGAAAUGGCGAGGUAAGAGCUCACCGCGCAACCGACAACGGAAGUGGCAAGGCAAACCCCACCUGGAGCAAGAUCAAAUAGGGACAACGCAUAUGCCCUCCGCAUUUAGGUUCGAUAGCAUUGCUACCGUAACCAUAGGGUUGUCCGGGUAGAUCGCUAGAUGUUUACGGUGACGUAAAUACCAGAUGAAUGGCCAUCGGAAUGCGUUUGCAUUCCACAGAAUCCGGCUUAUAGUUUUCACAAAAAC